rnacentral:rRNA from 1 species
GAUGAACGCUAGCUAUAGGCUUAACACAUGCAAGUCGAGGGGAAACGGCAUGGAAUGCUUGCAUUUCAUGGACGUCGACCGGCGUACGGGUGAGUAACGCGUAUCCAACCUGCCCAUGAGUAGGGAAUAACCCGCAGAAGUGCGGACUAAUACCCUAUACAGUCCAAAGACGGCAUCAGAUUUGGACGAAAGAUUUAUCGCUCAUGGAUGGGGAUGCGUCUGAUUAGUUUGUUGGCGGGGUAACGGCCCACCAAGGCAUCGAUCAGUAGGGGUUCUGAGAGGAAGGUCCCCCACAUAGGAACUGAGACACGGUCCUAACUCCUACGGGAGGCAGCAGUGAGGAAUCUUGGUCAAUGGGCGCGAGCCUGAACCAGCCAAGUAGCGUGCAGGAAGACGGCCCUAUGGGUUGUAAACUGCUUUUUUAUGGGAAUAAAGGAAAUCACGCGUUGAUUUUUUGCAGGUACCAUACGAAUAAGGACCGGCUAAUUCCGUGCCAGCAGCCGCGGUAAUACGGAAGGUCCGGGCGUUAUCCGGAUUUAUUGGGUUUAAAGGGAGCGUAGGCCGUGGGUUAAGUGUGUUGUGAAAUGUAGAUGCCCAACAUCUGAAUUGCAGCGCAUACUGGCUCACUUGAGUGCGCGCAACGUGGGCGGAAUUCGUCGUGUAGCGGUGAAAUGCUUAGAUAUGACGAGGAACUCCGAUUGCGAAGGCAGCUUACGGGAGCGCAACUGACGCUUAAGCUCGAAGGUGCGGGUAUCAAACAGGAUUAGAUACCCUGGUAGUCCGCACAGUAAACGAUGGAUGCCCGCCGUCUGCUCUAAUGAGUAUGCGGCCAAGCGAAAGCGUUAAGCAUCCCACCUGGGGAGUACGCCGGCAACGGUGAAACUCAAAGGAAUUGACGGGGGCCCGCACAAGCGGAGGAACAUGUGGUUUAAUUCGAUGAUACGCGAGGAACCUUACCCGGGCUUGAACUGUAGGAGACGGUUGGCAGAGAUGCCUUCAUUCCUUCGGGACUCCUAUGGAGGUGCUGCAUGGUUGUCGUCAGCUCGUGCCGUGAGGUGUCGGCUUAAGUGCCAUAACGAGCGCAACCCUUUUCUUCAGUUGCCAUCAGGUCAUGCUGGGCACUCUGUAGAUACUGCCGCCGCAAGGUGUGAGGAAGGUGGGGAUGACGUCAAAUCAGCACGGCCCUUACGUCCGGGGCUACACACGUGUUGCAAUGGGGAGUACAGCGCGUUGGAUGUGUGCAAACACGUUCUAAUCCUUAAAUCUCUCCUCAGUUCGGACUGGGGUCUGCAACCCGACCCCACGAAGCUGGAUUCGCUAGUAAUCGCGCAUCAGCCACGGCGCGGUGAAUACGUUCCCGGGCCUUGUACACACCGCCCGUCAAGCCAUGAAAGCCGGGGGUGCCUGAAGUUCGUAACCGCGAGGAGCGACCUAGGGCAAAACUGGUGAUUGGGGC